UUAUCCUAACGAAGACGUUAAGUUACACAGCUGAGAUAGCCUACUGUGAUUGUCUGAAAUUAGGACUGAAGAGUUAGUAGUUGAUCAGUUGAUUAUGUAACCAGGUACUUCAAGGUUGUGGCUUUCUGCAGACCUCAGCUGAGGUGCCGACAGCCACUCCAGUUGAAGUCAUUCGCAGAUUUAAACUUUGCAGUUACCAGUGCAACGUGCCAAAACGAGGCUACUAUAAUCAGCGCUCUGACCGGGGACUCCUAACAUCAACUCUGCAAUUUAUCCUCAGCAAGUGUGCAGACUGCACGCAGCAGUGCGCUGCACAGCCUUUGUGUCUCUGUCGCUCUGCAACUCUCGCAAGGUUCCAUCUGAAAGUGUGUGAGUGGCAGAGUGUGUGUGCGUUUGCGUACAUGCCUCUGUGUGUGUAUAUGUGUCACAAUGAAGCACCAGUCUAUCUCCCGAUGGCUGAGCCAGCUGGGACUGCCACAAUACUGCCCAGCGUUGGAGCAGGAAUAUGAUGGUGUCGAGGACCUGCUCCACAUCUCAGAGUAUGACCUCUUGGAGCUCGGAGUCCACAAUCACCUUCACCGCCUGCACCUUCUCA